AAAAAGAAAGAGGACUAAGAGAGGGAAAGCAGUCGCAAGCGCAGCGGCCACAAGUAACAGACGUAAGAAACGUCAAAAAAAAAAAAAAACGUUGUGCAUUAGCUUCUGAAGUUCAAGUGAUCACAGUGUCUGAGGAAGUCCCUCAGAUCGAAGAAGAGAUGACUGCAAGUCUUGAUACACGUCUUCAACAGCUGAGGGACACGCUUGACUCAGUUGAGGUUAAUGUGGCAGCUGAAAAAACAGCAUGGGCACAGCGGCAGCUACACGCUGAUACAAGGGCAAAAGCA